GGCACUGUAGCUCAGUGGUAGAGCACUUGCCUAGUAUGCAUGUCCCUGGGUUUGUUCCCCAGUACUG
rnacentral:tRNA from 1 species